ACCAAUCCACCUCGAAGGAGUAGCCUGUCCCGCCAUUGAGGAAGGAAUGGAAGAUCUCCGGAGCUGAACAGAAAUGGCAAAAUUCAACAGGUGAUAGCGCAGGUCACCACCAAGAAGCAGAUCCACCACCAUGAACAUGUCCUCCUCAUCCUGGAAGGAGUACCUGCGGGACCAGCGGCAUGUGAGCAAGCAGGCUGAGCCUCACAGCAGCCACAAAACCAAGCCAGGCUUCCCCCUCUCCUAACGAUGCGGCUCCUGUGAAAGCUGUGGGCAGUGCCACUGCCAGUGUACGCCAGCCUAGGUCAUUGCGCCUUCCCCAUGAAGCAGGUGCAACUCGAGGUGAUGUCUCAUUUUUGAACCUACUGCUACACUAAGGUGUAAUAGUAUUAAUAAGAAGUCCUGGUCCACCUGUGUGAGAAGCCAAGGGGCAGGGGAGUCUCGCUGACAGAAGAUCCAGUCGAGAGCCCCGAGGGUCCUCAGGCCCCUGGAUUCCAGCACCGGCGGAGGGUUCUCCUGCCUGGCUCGCCAAAUUGAUGCCAAAACAGCACAGAGCAACUGCUCAGAGAUGAGUUUUGUCUUUAAGCAGCGAAGGUAUCUAUUUCGUGGAACACUGAGGAGCUAGCCAAUUUGCACCGGACAAGCAAGCUGCCAAGCGCCACCAUGUAACCCCCAGCAGGCAGGGCUGCGGGCAGCGCGCGGGGUUUGCCAGCCAGCCACUUAAGAGCAACUUUGCAUUUUCAAUUGCAAACAAUCUGAUAAACCUACUUAAAAUAUCUCUGCUUAUCCUGAAAAUGAAUUGGAAAACACAACUGCUAAUUUAACCAUAAAAACCAGAAAAAGAGAUUUAUAUUUACUGUAGAGUAAAACGCCUCUCUAAAUCUGCAGUGGAACCAACAGGAGACUGACAGCAGUGAGGAUUCACUACAAAACAACAUUCAAUUGUUAUAUUUGGUGACAGUAUUUCUAAGGAAAGAGUAUGUGGGAUUGUAUAAUACUUAUGAAUCACACAAUUAUGUUCUCAUCUUAAAUGUAGGUUUAUUCUAAAAGUACAAGAUGAAACGGAGAAAUUUGCUAAGAGAGCAAGUUUUCCCAAGAAUCCCAUUACUCAUUGGAAAAAAAUAUUUGCAAUUGUUAAAACACUAAAUAAAUAAAUACUAUUUGGCUACCCUGGAGUAAAGGCUCAACAAAAAGAAUGUAAAGUACUACCAACUUCCAGCACUUUGAGUAUAACACUUUCUGUUUUUUUGAAAGGCUUUCCACCCACCAGCCUGCCACGCACCCCACAUCGCCAUGGGCGGCCCGAGGCUCAGCCUGCCUGGCCCCCCAAGGUGUGCUGCCUCCCCACGAAAAACUGCGGCUUCUGCCCCUCUUAUGUCCCCAUGAAAUCAGGGAGCCGCUCAUGAGGCACUGAUUCCAGCCUUAAAAACACAUCCCAGAGGUAACAGAGCCUUGCAGUGGCUGAAGGAGAUUACCGUGCACCACACCUUGCAGAUGCACUUCCUUGCAUUUUUUACAUAAUAUAACAUUUUUCUUUACCCAUUAUUUUCCAAGUAAGCACAGCCUUUAUUUUACAUUUACUAUUUUCUCCUUGUGGUUGUGGCUGCACAAAUUUUGAGGCAAUCUCAAAACCACUGGGUUGGAAAUAGUGCCUACCUGACCUGAUGAUACUCUCUAAGCCACAGCUGCAGACCUUUACCAAAAGCCACGCUGUCGUUGGAAAGAAAGCAUUUCAAACCACGCCAAGGGUGUGCAAAACACUUGGGGAAUAAAUCCUAGACAAAAUUUUGAGCAAUCCAGGUCAUAUACACAGUAAGAGAAGGAACCACUCUUCCCUGCACAGUCUGUCAUCCUCCACUCAAUGGGAUAUGAAAGAUUUUCCAUCACUUCUCAUAAAAAUCCCUCUUCUUCGCUCUGGGAAUGUAAGCCAUGAACUCCUUAUUUCUAUAACCCUGCACAGAUGAUGGAUGGAUUUUCUGAUCCCUGCCUCACAUCAGGGGCUCCUUCACAGGGCAGGGAGGGAAGAGAGAGGACCAACCACCUGGAGCACCCUGCAGCAGAAUCCAGGAGAGUGUCACGAGGCUGACUGCUAGGGACUCAUCCCAAACUAACCAAAGAUCAUAGGAUAUAAUGCACUAUUAUCUAAAAUGUGUCAAUUAGGUUUUUGUGCUAUUCUGGUUUCAGCUGGGAUAGAGUUUCCUUCUUAGUAGCUGGUGCAGGGCUGUGUUUUGGCUCUGAUGUGAGAACAACAUUGAUAGCACACUGAUGUUAGUUGUUGCUGGGUGAUGUUUAUACUAAAUCAAGGACUUUUCGGUUUCCUGGGCCCUGCCAGCAGGAGGGCUGGAGGGGCACGGGAAGCUGGGAGGGGACACAGCCGGGACAGGUGACCCGAACUGGCCAAAGGGACAUUCCAUACCAUAUGGCAUCAUGCUGAGUAUAUAAACUGGGGCAAGAAGAAGGAAGGGGGGACAUUUGGCAUUGUGGCGUUUGUCUUCCCGAGUAGCCGUUACGUGUGACGGAGCCCGGCUGCCCUGGGGAU